GACGAACGCUGGCGGCGCGCCUAACACAUGCAAGUCGAACGAGCGAGAGAGAGCUUGCUUUCUCGAGCGAGUGGCGAACGGGUGAGUAACGCGUGAGGAACCUGCCUCAAAGAGGGGGACAACAGUUGGAAACGACUGCUAAUACCGCAUAAGCCCACGGCUCGGCAUCGAGCAGGGGGAAAAGGAGCGAUCCGCUUUGAGAUGGCCUCGCGUCCGAUUAGCUAGUUGGUGGGGUAACGGCCCACCAAGGCGACGAUCGGUAGCCGGACUGAGAGGUUGAACGGCCACAUUGGGACUGAGACACGGCCCAGACUCCUACGGGAGGCAGCAGUGGGGAAUAUUGCACAAUGGGGGAAACCCUGAUGCAGCGACGCCGCGUGGAGGAAGAAGGUCUUCGGAUUGUAAACUCCUGUUGUUGGGGAAGAUAAUGACGGUACCCAACAAGGAAGUGACGGCUAACUACGUG
rnacentral:rRNA from 1 species